rnacentral:tRNA from 1 species
GGAGAGUGAUGGGUGCCUGGUGGCCUCCGCGGUCUUCAAAACCGUUGAGAGUAGUUCUGCUGCUCUGGUUGGUUCGAUUCCUUCCCUCUCCGC